rnacentral:rRNA from 1 species
CCUUAGAUGUUCUGGGCCGCACGCGCGCUACACUGAUCAAGUCAACGAGUUUACAACCUUGGCCGGAAGGUCUGGGUAAUCUUUUGAAACUUGAUCGUGCUGGGGAUAGUCCAUUGCAAUUAUUGGACUUCAACGAGGAAUUCCUAGUAAGCGUGAGUCAUCAGCUCGCGUUGAUUACGUCCCUGCCCUUUGUACACACCGCCCGUCGCUACUACCGAUUGAAUGGCUUAGUGAGGCUUUCGGAUUGGACUUUGGCAGCUGGCAACAGCAGCUAGGGACUAAAAAGUCAUCCAAACUUGGUCAUUUAGAGGAAGUAAAAGUCGUAACAAGGUUUCCGUAGGUGAACCUGCGA